GGGUUGUGAGGUUAAGCGACUAAGCGUACACGGUGGAUGCCCUGGCAGUCAGAGGCGAUGAAGGACGUGCUAAUCUGCGAUAAGCGUCGGUAAGGUGAUAUGAACCGUUAUAACCGGCGAUUUCCGAAUGGGGAAACCCAGUGUGAUUCGUCACACUAUCAUUAACUGAAUCCAUAGGUUAAUGAGGCGAACCGGGGGAACUGAAACAUCUAAGUACCCCGAGGAAAAGAAAUCAACCGAGAUUCCCCCAGUAGCGGCGAGCGAACGGGGAGCAGCCCAGAGCCUGAAUCAGUGUGUGUGUUAGUGGAAGCGUCUGGAAAGGCGCGCGAUACAGGGUGACAGCCCCGUACACAAAAAUGCACAUACUGUGAGCUCGAUGAGUAGGGCGGGACACGUGGUAUCCUGUCUGAAUAUGGGGGGACCAUCCUCCAAGGCUAAAUACUCCUGACUGACCGAUAGUGAACCAGUACCGUGAGGGAAAGGCGAAAAGAACCCCGGCGAGGGGAGUGAAAAAGAACCUGAAACCGUGUACGUACAAGCAGUGGGAGCACGCUUAGGCGUGUGACUGCGUACCUUUUGUAUAAUGGGUCAGCGACUUAUAUUCUGUAGCAAGGUUAACCGAAUAGGGGAGCCGAAGGGAAACCGAGUCUUAACUGGGCGUUAAGUUGCAGGGUAUAGACCCGAAACCCGGUGAUCUAGCCAUGGGCAGGUUGAAGGUUGGGUAACACUAACUGGAGGACCGAACCGACUAAUGUUGAAAAAUUAGCGGAUGACUUGUGGCUGGGGGUGAAAGGCCAAUCAAACCGGGAGAUAGCUGGUUCUCCCCGAAAGCUAUUUAGGUAGCGCCUCGUGAAUUCAUCUCCGGGGGUAGAGCACUGUUUCGGCAAGGGGGUCAUCCCGACUUACCAACCCGAUGCAAACUGCGAAUACCGGAGAAUGUUAUCACGGGAGACACACGGCGGGUGCUAACGUCCGUCGUGAAGAGGGAAACAACCCAGACCGCCAGCUAAGGUCCCAAAGUCAUGGUUAAGUGGGAAACGAUGUGGGAAGGCCCAGACAGCCAGGAUGUUGGCUUAGAAGCAGCCAUCAUUUAAAGAAAGCGUAAUAGCUCACUGGUCGAGUCGGCCUGCGCGGAAGAUGUAACGGGGCUAAACCAUGCACCGAAGCUGCGGCAGCGACGCUGAUGCGUUGUUGGGUAGGGGAGCGUUCUGUAAGCCUGCGAAGGUGUGCUGUGAGGCAUGCUGGAGGUAUCAGAAGUGCGAAUGCUGACAUAAGUAACGAUAAAGCGGGUGAAAAGCCCGCUCGCCGGAAGACCAAGGGUUCCUGUCCAACGUUAAUCGGGGCAGGGUGAGUCGACCCCUAAGGCGAGGCCGAAAGGCGUAGUCGAUGGGAAACAGGUUAAUAUUCCUGUACUUGGUGUUACUGCGAAGGGGGGACGGAGAAGGCUAUGUUGGCCGGGCGACGGUUGUCCCGGUUUAAGCGUGUAGGCUGGUUUUCCAGGCAAAUCCGGAAAAUCAAGGCUGAGGCGUGAUGACGAGGCACUACGGUGCUGAAGCAACAAAUGCCCUGCUUCCAGGAAAAGCCUCUAAGCAUCAGGUAACAUCAAAUCGUACCCCAAACCGACACAGGUGGUCAGGUAGAGAAUACCAAGGCGCUUGAGAGAACUCGGGUGAAGGAACUAGGCAAAAUGGUGCCGUAACUUCGGGAGAAGGCACGCUGAUAUGUAGGUGAAGCGACUUGCUCGUGGAGCUGAAAUCAGUCGAAGAUACCAGCUGGCUGCAACUGUUUAUUAAAAACACAGCACUGUGCAAACACGAAAGUGGACGUAUACGGUGUGACGCCUGCCCGGUGCCGGAAGGUUAAUUGAUGGGGUCAGCGCAAGCGAAGCUCUUGAUCGAAGCCCCGGUAAACGGCGGCCGUAACUAUAACGGUCCUAAGGUAGCGAAAUUCCUUGUCGGGUAAGUUCCGACCUGCACGAAUGGCGUAAUGAUGGCCAGGCUGUCUCCACCCGAGACUCAGUGAAAUUGAACUCGCUGUGAAGAUGCAGUGUACCCGCGGCAAGACGGAAAGACCCCGUGAACCUUUACUAUAGCUUGACACUGAACAUUGAGCCUUGAUGUGUAGGAUAGGUGGGAGGCUUUGAAGUGUGGACGCCAGUCUGCAUGGAGCCGACCUUGAAAUACCACCCUU
rnacentral:rRNA from 1 species